UCCAAAAGUGUUCUUGGACCAUUUUUUUGGUGACAUCUGAAAAUAAAGAGGAAAUAUUAAUUUAUAAAAGAAAUAAUAAGUGAACUUCUUGUAUUCAACAUGUUAAAUACAUGACGCACUUUAUGAUCCGGAUGUGAGAAACAAAGAAAUGCCACAACUAAUGCGGCUACAUCUGAUAACAUAUGAAAACUAUCAGCUAUUAAAGCCAUCGAAUUGGUCACAUAACCAACAACUAUCUCCACCAAAAAUAAAAGCGCUAUUUUUAAAAGAAGCAUUACAAAACUUUUUCUUUGCUAGCAACAAUACUGCAGCACAGGCACAAUAGGAACAAGGAUUUCUUU